UUAGACACAGUGAAAAGUGUUUAAAAAAACACGGAGCUGUUAUACGCUUUGUUUUAGACGCAUAUAACAGUCAAUUAAAUAUACAUUGUUAAGCGUCGAAAAUCCUCCUUCUAAUUAUUUAAGAAGAAAAAAGCAGGAUAAUCCCAAAAAUAAGAAAGAACCGCUUAGCAGCAGUUACAUUUUGAUUACUGCUCAAGAACAAUUACUCUUCUAUUUCUUCAUUACUUUUCAUUCGCCUCCUGCCUCUUGUCCAUCCUAAUUCCGCGGCCAACUCUUUAUACCCCAUAACUUGUCAUCCUCUACAACUCGCAAAAUCGGGUUUUAAUUUUUAAUCUAGCAGAUUUGAAAUGCAGAAGCAAACUUGUGAAAAUACUCUCUAAAAUUGCUAUUGAACUUCAUAUGGUGAGAAAACCUCAAUACAAACUAUAUUGUUGUAACUUUUUAAUUUGUUUAAAAAAUGGUUUAUGGUUAUUAUUUUGUAAUGGUUAUCAAUAUUUUGAUAUUUGAACAUAUUGUCAAAGUUAAUUUGCACUAAAUUAAUAUAAGGGAAAUUCCACAUGGUAGCAUCGAAUUUUCGUGAAACGCCAGUGGUAACACUUUUGUAAGAUUUUUCCACAUGGUAACAUCCAGUUUAUGCCUUAUCUUACUGCCGUAACAUUUCUGUUAAUUUUUUGUCAAUUUCCAUUUAAUUCACCAUUUUGAAAUUUCUACCCUUAAUAAGUGUUAUCGUCUUUAUAAUUUGCCCUGAAUCAUUUUUAUGCUCAAAUGUUUAAUUUACAAUUUUGACGUUUAAUUCACUGUUUAAUUUACCGUUUAAUUCAUCAACGUUCUCAAUUGUUUUGGGGGAAAUUAUAAAGACAACAACCAAUACUUAAUUAGGGUAAAAACGUCAAAAUAGUGAAUUAAACAGAAAUUGACAAGAAUUUAACAGAAAGUGCUACGUCACUUAGAUAAGGCAUAAAUUGGAUGCUACCAUGUUGAAAAAUCUUACAAAAAUGCUACCACAGGUGUUUCAUGAAAGUUCGAUGCUACCAUGUGGAAUUUCUCUAAAUAUAAUGAAAAAUUGUACGUGAAUUGCUUCUUAGUUUAAGUAUAUGUUAAUCAUAAUCUUGUGGUUGAUGAGUAAAUUAUUGCUUGA